GACGUAGGGUGCGAGCGUUGUCCGGAAUUAUUGGGCGUAAAGAGCUCGUAGGCGGUGUGUCGCGUCGGCCGUGAAAACCUGCAGCUUAACUGUGGGCGUGCGGUCGAUACGGGCAUCACUGGAGUUCGGCAGGGGAGACUGGAAUUCCUGGUGUAGCGGUGAAAUGCGCAGAUAUCAGGAGGAACACCGGUGGCGAAGGCGGUUCUCGUGGGCCUGACCUGACGCUGGAGGAGCGAAAGCGUGGGGAGCGAACAGG
rnacentral:rRNA from 1 species